UGUUGGUGAGACGUGUGAGCAAUUAAGUGAAUCUUACGUGGAGGUGCCUAUUGUGAAUGAGCAUGAAGAAUUGUCACAGGAUUUGUCCUCGCCAAAUUUGAAAAAUAAGGCUGACAAUAGCAAUGAUGUUACUGUCACUGGGAAGCAACGAGGAGGGAAACGAAAAUUUGCAAGGAGGGGCAGGGGACGGGUUAAAUAAUUUUUAAUCUUGUCUUUGUAAUUUACUGUAAAUUGACUGUAAACUAGUUUAGAAUUAAAGAUAGCACCACUAAAGGCAUUUUGUAAACUGUAGCGAGAUGGAUACUUGUUAGUUUAGUAUUUAACCAAGCAGGGAUUUUCGCCCUUAAAUUGGGUGAUUCAUUUGUAAUCUGUACCAGUAGUUUAGCGUUUGACCAAGCAAGCGUUUUACCCUUAAAUUGGGUAAAUCAAUAAUUAGUUUGAAUUGUUAAACCAACUUGGGCCGGUCUAGACCAGUAAUCCCGCUGAAAAGGCC
rnacentral:misc_RNA from 1 species